AUUGAACGCUGGCGGCAGGCCUAACACAUGCAAGUCGAACGGUAACAGGGAUCAGCUUGCUGAUUCGCUGACGAGUGGCGGACGGGUGAGUAAUGUCUGGGAAACUGCCUGAUGGAGGGGGAUAACUACUGGAAACGGUAGCUAAUACCGCAUAACGUCGCAAGACCAAAGAGGGGGACCUUCGGGCCUCUUGCCAUCGGAUGUGCCCAGAUGGGAUUAGCUAGUAGGUGGGGUAACGGCUCACCUAGGCGACGAUCCCUAGCUGGUCUGAGAGGAUGACCAGCCACACUGGAACUGAGACACGGUCCAGACUCCUACGGGAGGCAGCAGUGGGGAAUAUUGCACAAUGGGCGCAAGCCUGAUGCAGCCAUGCCGCGUGUAUGAAGAAGGCCUUCGGGUUGUAAAGUACUUUCAGCGGGGAGGAAGGGAGUAAAGUUAAUACCUUUGCUCAUUGACGUUACCCGCAGAAGAAGCACCGGCUAACUCUGUG
rnacentral:rRNA from 1 species